rnacentral:rRNA from 1 species
UAAGGUAGCGAAAUUCCUUGUCGGGUAAGUUCCGACCUGCACGAAUGGCAUAAUGAUGGGGGCGCUGUCUCCAGCAGAGACUCAGUGAAAUCGAAAUCGCAGUGAAGAUGCUGUGUACCCGCGGCUAGACGGAAAGACCCCGUGAACCUUUACUACAGCUUUACAUUGAACUUUGACCUUACCUGUGUAGGAUAGGUGGGAGGCUUUGAAGCAGGCACGCCAGUGUCUGUGGAGCCAUCCUUGAAAUACCACCCUGGUAAUGUUGGGGUUCUAACUCAAGCUUAACAGAGCUGAGGACAAUGUAUGGUGGGUAGUUUGACUGGGGCGGUCUCCUCCUAAAGAGUAACGGAGGAGUACGAAGGUGCGCUCAGAACGGUCGGAAAUCGUUCGAAGAGUAUAAAGGCAAAAGCGCGCUUAACUGCGAGACCCACAAGUCGAGCAGGUACGAAAGUAGGUCUUAUUGAUCCGGUGGUUCUGUAUGGAAGGGCCAUCGCUCAACGGAUAAAAGGUACUCCGGGGAUAACAGGCUGAUACCGCCCAAGAGUUCAUAUCGACGGCGGUGUUUGGCACCUCGAUGUCGGCUCAUCUCAUCCUGGGGCUGUAGCCGGUCCCAAGGGUAUGGCUGUUCGCCAUUUAAAGAGGUACGUGAGCUGGGUUUAAAACGUCGUGAGACAGUUUGGUCCCUAUCUUCCGUGGGCGCUGCAGAUUUGAGGAAGCCUGCUCCUAGUACGAGAGGACCGGAGUGGACGAACCUCUGGUGUUCCGGUUGUCACGCCAGUGGCA